AUUGAACGCUGGCGGCAGGCCUAACACAUGCAAGUCGAGCGAGCGUCGGACGGGUGCUUAAUGCCUAUGAAUCUGCCUGUUAGUGGUGGAUAACUACUGGAAACGGUAGCUAAUACCUCAUACCUUCAGUUUUGCCCACAUGGGAUUAGCACGUUGGUGGGGUAACGGCUCACAAAGGCGACGAUCCCUAGCUGGUCCGAGGGGAUGACCAGCCACUGGGGAACGGAGACACGGCCCAUACUCCAACGGGAGGCAGCAGGGGGGAAUAUGGAACAAUGGGCGCAAGCCUGAUGAAGCCAUGCCGCGUGUAUGAAGAAGGCCUUCGGGUUGUAAAGUACUUUCAGCGGGGAGGCGUUACCCGCAGAAGAAGCACCGGCUAACUCCGUGCCAGCAGCCGCGGUAAUAC
rnacentral:rRNA from 1 species